rnacentral:rRNA from 1 species
UACGUAGGUGGCGAGCGUUGUCCGGAUUUACUGGGCGUAAAGGGAGCGUAGGCGGACUUUUAAGUGAGAUGUGAAAUACCCAGGCUCAACUUGGGUGCUGCAUUUCAAACUGGAAGUCUAGAGUGCAGGAGAGGAGAAUGGAAUUCCUAGUGCGGCGGUGAAAUGCGUAGAGAUUAGGAAGAACACCAGUGGCGAAGGCGAUUCUCUGGACUGUAACUGACGCUGAGGCUCGAAAGCGUGGGGAGCUAACAGGAUUAGAUA